GACGAACGCUGGCGGCGUGCUUAACACAUGCAAGUCGAACGGAGAAACGCCAACUUGCUUGUUUGGAUGAGUGGCGAACGGGUGAGUAACACGUGAGCAACAUGCCCCUGACACUGUAGGAAGCCCUGGGAAAAGCGGCUAAUACUGGGGACGAUAAUGUUCAGCGUGGGCACUUUAUGGAAAGGUUUGCGGUUGGGGCUGGUCUCGCGGGCUAUCAGCUUGUUGGUGAGGUAAUGGCGCACAAAGGCGACGACGGGUAGCCGGCCUGAGAGGGCGACCGGCCACACUGGGACUGAGACACGGCCCAGAAUCCUACGGGAGGCAGCAGUGGGGAAUAUUGCACAAUGGGCGAAAGCCUGAUGCAGCGACGCCGCGUGAGGGAUGACGGCCUUUGGGUUGUAAACCUCUUUCAGCAGGGAAGAAGCGAAAGUGACGGUACCUGCAGAAGAAGCACCGGCUAACUACGUG
rnacentral:rRNA from 1 species